rnacentral:lncRNA from 1 species
GUGUCAAUGCUGGUAUUCCAAAAUGACUACAUUGCGGACCAUGCCAGAUCUUACAAGCCUGGAUAGCUUUAACAUAUCAGCAUUCCAUACCGUAUGAUAAAGUAAGCUGAUGCUCACAACUAUUAUUUGAUGAAAUGAAAUGUUUGCAAUGCAGUCAGCUUGGAACGUGCCCAUUAGCUCCCAACUCUGUAGUAUCAAUGACUCCAACACUCAACUGAUUAAAACCGAAUUGUACACUACAGCAUAGAAACAACCAUCUAUUGUUAUAUUCUAAUAAUGCAAGUAUUUAUCUUAACCUGUAUUUUACUUAUUGUUUUUUUGUUUAAUUAUAAAACAUUCAUUAUUCAAUAAAUCCGCAGGGGAAAGGAAGCCUGUAACAGAGUCUAGAGAUACUGUUCUUUACACCAGAAGGUGUUGUCUUUAACAGAGUUUAGUGAUACUGUUCUUUACACCAGAAGGUGUUGUCUUUCACAGAGUAGAGAUCCUGUUCUUUACACCAGAAGGUGUUGUCUUUAACAGAGUUUAGAGAUACUGUUCUUUACACCAGAAGGUUUUGUCUUUAACAGAGUCUAGAGAUACUGUUUUUUACACCAGAAGGUGUUGUCUUUAACAGAGUAGCGAUUAUGUUCUUUACACCAGAAGGUGUUGUCUUUAACUGAGUAGAGAUACUGUUCUU